CAUGCAAGUCGAACGAGAGAUGAAGAGCUUGCUCUUCAAAUCGAGUGGCGAACGGGUGAGUAACGCGUGAGGAACCUGCCUCAAAGAGGGGGACAACAGUUGGAAACGACUGCUAAUACCGCAUAAGCCCACGGCUCGGCAUCGAGCAGGGGGAAAAGGAGCAAUCCGCUUUGAGAUGGCCUCGCGUCCGAUUAGCUAGUUGGUGAGGUAACGGCCCACCAAGGCGACGAUCGGUAGCCGGACUGAGAGGUUGAACGGCCACAUUGGGACUGAGACACGGCCCAGACUCCUACGGGAGGCAGCAGUGGGGAAUAUUGCACAAUGGGGGAAACCCUGAUGCAGCGACGCCGCGUGGAGGAAGAAGGUCUUCGGAUUGUAAACUCCUGUUGUUGAGGAAGAUAAUGACGGUACUCAACAAGGAAGUGACGGCUAACUACGUGCCAGCAGCCGCGGUAAAACGUAGGUCACAAGCGUUGUCCGGAAUUACUGGGUGUAAAGGGAGCGCAGGCGGGAGAACAAGUUGGAAGUGAAAUCCAUGGGCUCAACCCAUGAACUGCUUUCAAAACUGUUUUUCUUGAGUAGUGCAGAGGUAGGCGGAAUUCCCGGUGUAGCGGUGGAAUGCGUAGAUAUCGGGAGGAACACCAGUGGCGAAGGCGGCCUACUGGGCACCAACUGACGCUGAGGCUCGAAAGUGUGGGUAGCAAACAGGAUUA
rnacentral:rRNA from 1 species